UGGUUCUUUUUGGCAAAAUUUGCUACAAGACAUGCACAGUGAUGUCGAUUUGCAGGUGGACAUCGAAUGGUUCUUUUUGGCAAAAUUUGCUACAAGACAUGCACAGUGAUGUCGAUUUGCAGGUGGACAUCGAAAAAAGUAUAAUUAGCUGGUGGACACCCUAGUUUAUGAUAGUUUGCUGGAGGACACCACAUCAAUUAAAAUAAUAUUUUUGGAUUGAACAGGAGAAAGAAAUAGGGUGAAUGGUCAUUUUUACUCCUAGCCCUAACUGUCUGAUCUUUCUUCCUCCUCCCUCCUUCCUCCUCCUUUCUUCUUCCUUAUCCCUUCCCCAUGGAC
rnacentral:lncRNA from 1 species